AGAGCUGCAGUGAGUGCGUAAUCUUGUGUGAAGGAUCUGCAGUUUACGGUCACCAGAAAAGAAGAAGCUGGGGACAUUUGGUAGGUCGUUAUUUAGCAUUCGCUUGAAUGAUGCAACCGUUGGAGCAUUUUGUGUCUGAAGUGGGAGCGCAUUGAAGUCUCUGAUAACUGAAGGCAAAAAUGAUUUGUAAUAAAAGUCAGUAUGUGUGAGAAUGUUUUGCGUGUCGUUUGCAUUCCUGAGUGGAUAGCGAUGCUCACUGCCAACUGACGAAGGGACAAGAUCUGAAAGAUACUGUGGGGCCUUACUUUUAAUGUAUUCAAUGUGUGUGGACCACCGCAGAUCAUGCGAGAGACUGAUACCCAAGUGUUUAUGAUUACGGACUUCGUUUAUUUGUACGCCUUGCAUUCUGAUUGGCUGAUGAUUAAUAUUUCUGUGAGUUUUACGUGAUAUCAGUAAGGAUUCAGUUUUCGAAGGAUUGAAUUUUACCAACCAUUUUUCUGCCCAUGAAGUUAUAUUCUGCAGGUCCGAGUUUAAAAUAGUUGAAGCAGUGAUAGGAUCUUCUACUACAAUGAAAAGGUAAGAAGAGAACCAAGAAGAAACACGUCCGGAAAUACCUACAGAAUUCAGUUUGAAAAUAAGUCCUUUGUGCCAGACACGAUCGAAGGCCUUACUUAUAUCACAAAAUACAGCUCUGACCUCUUUACCGGAGUCAAUAGCCUGUGCAAAUAAGUUAU